CACUCCUACGGGAGGCAGCAGUGGGGAAUAUUGGACAAUGGGCGCAAGCCUGAUCCAGCCAUGCCGCGUGAGUGAUGAAGGCCCUAGGGUUGUAAAGCUCUUUCACCGGUGAAGAUAAUGACGGUAACCGGAGAAGAAGCCCCGGCUAACUUCGUGCCAGCAGCCGCGGUAAUACGAAGGGGGCUAGCGUUGUUCGGAUUUACUGGGCGUAAAGCGCACGUAGGCGGACUAUUAAGUCAGGGGUGAAAUCCCGGGGCUCAACCCCGGAACUGCCUUUGAUACUGGUAGUCUUGAGUUUGAGAGAGGUGAGUGGAAUUCCGAGUGUAGAGGUGAAAUUCGUAGAUAUUCGGAGGAACACCAGUGGCGAAGGCGGCUCACUGGCUCGAUACUGACGCUGAGGUGCGAAAGCGUGGGGAGCAAACAGGAUUAGAAACCCUUGUAGUCC
rnacentral:rRNA from 1 species